UACGAAGGGGGCUAGCGUUGCUCGGAAUUACUGGGCGUAAAGGGCGCGUAGGCGGAUACUUAAGUUAGAGGUGAAAGCCCAGGGCUCAACCCUGGAAUAGCCUUUAAUACUGGGUAUCUUGAGUUCGGGAGAGGUGAGUGGAACUCCGAGUGUAGAGGUGAAAUUCAUAGAUAUUCGGAAGAACACCAGUGGCGAAGGCGACUCACUGGCCCGAUACUGACGCUGAGGCGCGAAAGCGUGGGGAGCAAACAGG
rnacentral:rRNA from 1 species